CACUACGGCCACACCACCCUGAAAAUGCCUGAUCUUGUCUGACCUCAGAAGCCAAACAGGGUCGGGCUUGGUUAGUGCUUGGGUGGGAGACUCACUGGGAAUCCUGGGUGCUGUAGGCU
rnacentral:rRNA from 1 species